rnacentral:lncRNA from 1 species
AAUUUCCUAAUCGUUGCAUCCCUUUAAAUUGUGGUGACCUUUUACUCAGUUUUGGAGGAUUCUUAUGAUGCCACGUAACCUCUGUUUUUGAACGACGCCAUAGACAUCCAAACUCAUUCACACCGCCUCAUGUUGACGGUGAUGCGUCAAUUUACCGUUGAGGAUUUUAUUCUUUGAACGAAGAGUUUAGAUGGAUUUGGAACCGGCGGAACGCGAAUGGACACACCUUUUUAUUGAGACGGUGGUUGGAUUGCGAUUGUGUCCAUUCCCUGCCUAUAAAAUGCAUAUACAUCUCAAGGCUCAACAUUUAAGUCCAUUGGUUAACAUAUAGCGUGAAAUUGAAGAAAGGAUUCAUUGCGUUCUACACUUCACAAAUGAACCGGCAGAACACAUUGGAGGGGCUCACCUUUUUUAUCUGAGACGGUAGUUGGAUUCGGAUUCGAUGUCGAUUCUGCCCAAUAAAACGCUAACCCUAAUCAUGAAUUUUACAUAUCAACAUUUGAUCCAUUGACAACCCCAUCAUUCUAUCGCCUCCCACAGUCAGACUCCUCCCUCCCCUGUUUGCAAUCCCAAAUUAACUAAUCAUGAAUUUUGAUUUUUUUAGGAGGCUAAUUAACCCUUAUGUUGGUAACAUCAUGCUUAAAACCAACCACCAUCUUUUUCUUUGGACUCUCAAUUUUUUUUGGUUCCAACAUUCUUUAUUUGUACGAUCUCUCUCUCUAUCUCGCACACACACACACACAAUUAACCAUUUGAACUGUCCAUCUAUGCAUUUUAUAUAUGUAUUCAUAACAAUACGUUCUUUUCAGGAAAUAUUGAAUGAAGAAGAUGAGAAGAUUGCAAGGCUGAAGGAUGAAUGCGUUGAGGAUGUGUUUAAUGCAGUUGUUACAAAAACAGACAAAUGAGUAAUGAUCCAAGCGACAUAUAUCCAUUACUAGAUUUUUGGAACCAAAAGGUGAACAGAAAGGCGACAUUGAAAGAGGAAGUAGGAUUUAUCUUAAUGGAAAUUAUACAAACAGAAGAAAAGGUUCAAGAGGAUUACAACCGGAAAAGUUCAUUAAAGGUUAGCUUAGCAUAUUAAGACUCCUAAAAUGAUGGGUUUAAUGAUAUUUUGUAACUUGAUGUUGACUUCUUUUUACUGUUCAUAUGAAAUUUGUCUAAUAUCAAAAGAGACGAUCAAUUUUAUUUCAUUUUAUGGUUUUUAAUAGUUUAACAUGAGAGAUAUUCAUAUGUGAACAAAAAGUUUAUCUACUUGCUUGGUCAACAACCCCAUUUUGAGUUCUUUGACUCUUCCUGUCAAGUCCUUAAUAUUAGUGCAAUUAGCAGUGAUAAUUGCUUUGUAUUUUGACAACAUUGCUAUUACUACGUAGAAUUUUCAUAGCGAUGUCCUAUAAUAUGAAAAAUUGAAUAGGAUCUAUCAUAACCUUAUUAAAGAUAUUAUGAUUAGGAGAAUUUAUCUAAACUUUAGCGUCUUA